GCCGCACUGGCAUAGUGGGAGCGCGUCGCACUUGUAAAUGCGAUGCAUGCGAAGGUCAUUCGUUCAACCCGGGUACGUGGCA